AGGAAGUAAAAGUCGUAACAAGGUCUCCGUUGGUGAACCAGCGGAGGGAUCAUUACCGAGUUUACAACUCCCAAACCCCUGUGAACAUACCACUUGUUGCCUCGGCGGAUCAGCCCGCUCCCGGUAAAACGGGACGGCCCGCCAGAGGACCCCUAAACUCUGUUUCUAUAUGUAACUUCUGAGUAAAACCAUAAAUAAAUCAAAACUUUCAACAACGGAUCUCUUGGUUCUGGCAUCGAUGAAGAACGCAGCAAAAUGCGAUAAGUAAUGUGAAUUGCAGAAUUCAGUGAAUCAUCGAAUCUUUGAACGCACAUUGCGCCCGCCAGUAUUCUGGCGGGCAUGCCUGUUCGAGCGUCAUUUCAACCCUCAAGCCCUCGGGUUUGGUGUUGGGGAUCGGCGAGCCCUUGCGGCAAGCCGGCCCCGAAAUCUAGUGGCGGUCUCGCUGCAGCCUCCAUUGCGUAGUAGUAAAACCCUCGCAACUGGAACGCGGCGCGGCCAAGCCGUUAAACCCCCAACUUCUGAAUGUGACCUCGGAUCAGCUAG
rnacentral:rRNA from 1 species